rnacentral:misc_RNA from 1 species
GAUGAAGAACGCAGCGAAAUGCGAUAAGUAGUGUGAAUUGCAGAAUUCAGUGAAUCAUCGAAUCUUUGAACGCACAUUGCGCCCCUUGGUAUUCCAUGGGGCAUGCCUGUUCGAGCGUCAUUUGUACCUUCAAGCUCUGCUUGGUGUUGGGUGUUUGUCUCGCCUCUGCGUGUAGACUCGCCUCAAAACAAUUGGCAGCCGGCGUAUUGAUUUCGGAGCGCAGUACAUCUCGCGCUUUGCACUCAUCACGACGACGUCCAAAAGUACAUUUUUACACUCUUGACCUCGGAUCAGGUAGGGAUACCCGCUGAACUUAAGCAUAUCAAUAAGCGGAGGA